rnacentral:rRNA from 1 species
CCCUUAGAUGUUCUGGGCUGCACGCGCGCUACACUGAUGCGUUCAACGAGUUUUUAGCUUAUCUGAUAAGAUUGGCUAAUCUUCUGAAAACGCAUCGUGAUGGGGAUAGAUUAUUGUAAUUAUUAAUCUUCAACGAGGAAUUCCUAGUAGGUGUGAAUCAUCAGUUCACGCCGAUUACGUCCCUGCCCUUUGUACACACCGCCCGUCGCUCCUCCCGAUUGAGUGAUCCGGUGAAUAAUUCGGACCGGUGAGCUUCCAGGUUUACCUGGCUGCUUGCUGGAAAGUCUAGUGAACCUUAUCACUUAGAGGAAGGAGAAGUCGUAACA